GAUGAACGCUGGCGGCGUGCUUAACACAUGCAAGUCGAACGGAAAGGCUCCUGCUUGCAGGGGUACUCGAGUGGCGAACGGGUGAGUAACACGUGGGUGAUCUGCCCUGCACUUCGGGAUAAGCCUGGGAAACUGGGGCUAAUACCGGAUAGGACCCCAUUUUGGAUGGUGUGGUGGAAAGUUUUUCGGUGUGGGAUGAGCUCGCGGCCUAUCAGCUUGUUGGUGGGGUAAUGGCCUACCAAGGCGUCGACGGGUAGCCGGCCUGAGAGGGUGUACGGCCACAUCGGGACUGAGAUACGGCCCAGACUCCUACGGGAGGCAGCAGUGGGGAAUAUUGCACAAUGGGCGCAAGCCUGAUGCAGCGACGCCGCGUGGGGGAUGACGGCCUUCGGGUUGUAAACUCCUUUCGCUAGGGACGAAGCGCGAGUGACGGUACCUGGAGAAGAAGCACCGGCUAACUACGUG
rnacentral:rRNA from 1 species